rnacentral:rRNA from 1 species
AACGAACGCUGGCGGCGUGGAUUAGGCAUGCAAGUCGAACGAGGCGCCUAGCAUUUUCGGGAGGCCUAGUGGCGAAAGGGUGAGUAACACGUGAGAAUCUGCCCUUGGGAGGGGGAUAACUAGCCGAAAGGUUAGCUAAUACCGCAUACGUCCGUAAGGAGAAAGGUGGGGAUCGUAAGACCUGCCGCCCAUGGAUGAGCUCGCGGCCUAUCAGCUUGUUGGUGAGGUAAAGGCUUACCAAGGCUAAGACGGGUAGCUGGUCUGAGAGGAUGGUCAGCCACACUGGGACUGAGACACUGCCCAGACACCUACGGGUGGCUGCAGUCGAGAAUCUUUCGCAAUGGGGGAAACCCUGACGAAGCGACGCCGCGUGUAGGAUGACGGCCUUCGGGUUGUAAACUACUGUCAGCAGGGACGAAGAAUUUUUGGUUAAUAACCAGAACUUUUGACGGUACCUGCAGAGGAAGCCACGGCUAACUCUG